CGAAGUAGCAAUACUUAGUGGCAGACGGGUGAGUAACAUGUGGGUAUCUUCCCUUUGGCCUGGAAUAACACGAGGAAACUUGUGCUAAUACUGGAUAAGUCUUUACGGAGAAAGCUUUAUGCACCAUUGGAUGAGCCUGCACUUGAUUAGUUUGUUGGUGGGGUAAUGGCCUACCAAGACUUUGAUCAAUAGCUGAUUUGAGAGGAUGAUCAGCCACAUUGGGACUGAGACACGGCCCAAACUCCUACGGGAGGCAGCAGUGGGGAAUCUUGCACAAUGGAGGAAACUCUGAUGCAGCGAUGCCGCGUGAGUGAAGAAGGCCUUUGGGUUGUAAAGCUCUUUCGUCGGGGAAGAAAAUGACUGUACCCGAAUAAGAAGGUCCGGCUAACUUCGUGCCAGCAGCCGCGGUAAUACGAAGGGACCUAGCGUAGUUCGGAAUUACUGGGCUUAAAGAGUUCGUAGGUGGUUGAAAAAGUUGGUGGUGAAAUCCCAGAGCUUAACUCUGGAACUGCCAUCAAAACUUUUCAGCUAGAGUUUGAUAGAGGAAAGCAGAAUUUCUAGUGUAGAGGUGAAAUUCGUAGAUAUUAGAAAGAAUACCAAUUGCGAAGGCAGCUUUCUGGAUCAUUACUGACACUGAGGAACGAAAGCAUGGGUAGCGAAGAGGAUUAGAUACCCUCGUAGUCCAUGCCGUAAACGAUGUGUGUUAGACGUUGGAAAUUUAUUUUCAGUGUCGCAGCGAAAGCGAUAAACACACCGCCUGGGGAGUACGACCGCAAGGUUAAAACUCAAAUGAAUUGACGGGGACCCGCACAAGUAGUGGAGCAUGUGGUUUAAUUCGAAGAUACGCGCAGAACCUUACCAACACUUGACAUGUUCGUCGCGACUUUAAGAGAUUAAAGUUUUCGGUUCGGCCGGACGAAACACAGGUGCUGCAUGGCUGUCGUCAGCUCGUGUCGUGAGAUGUUGGGUUAAGUCCCGCAACGAGCGCAACCCUCACUUUUAGUUGCCAUCAUUUAGUUGGGCACUCUGAAAGAACUGCCAGU
rnacentral:rRNA from 1 species